UGGUAGUNCACGCCGUAAACGAUGAGUGCUAGGUGUUAGGCCCUUUCCGGGGCUUAGUGCCGGAGCUAACGCAAUAAGCACUCCGCCUGGGGAGUACGACCGCAAGGUUGAAACUCAAAGGAAUUGACGGGGGCCCGCACAAGCGGUGGAGCAUGUGGUUUAAUUUGAAGCAACGCGAAGAACCUUACCAGGUCUUGACAUCCCGAUGCUAUUCUUAGAGAUAGGAAGUUACUUCGGUACAUCGGAGACAGGUGGUGCAUGGUUGUCGUCAGCUCGUGUCGUGAGAUGUUGGGUUAAGUCCCGCAACGAGCGCAACCCCUAUUGUUAGUUGCCAUCAUUAAGUUGGGCAUUCUAGCGAGACUGCCGGUAAUAAACCGGAGGAAGGUGGGGAUGACGUCAAAUCAUCAUGCCCCUUAUGACCUGGGCUACACACGUGCUACAAUGGUCGGUACAACGAGUUGCGAGCCGGUGACGGCAAGCUAAUCUCUGAAAGCCGAUCUCAGUUCGGAUUGGAGGCUGCAACUCGCCUCCAUGAAGUCGGAAUCGCUAGUAAUCGCGGAUCAGCACGCCGCGGUGAAUACGUUCCCGGGCCUUGUACACACCGCCCGUCACACCACGAGAGUUUGUAACACCCGAAGUCGGUGAGGUAACCUUUUAGGGGCCAGCCGC
rnacentral:rRNA from 1 species